ensembl:lncRNA
CUGGAUAUGCCAAAUAUCUGUAAUAUUACACAAUGCUGUAGUUUAUAUUACUAUAGUUAUAGUUCCACAUCUUUCUUUGUGUAUUUCCUUUACAUCUCUACUAAUCUAGAAAUGUAGGUAAAUAACAUACUAAAAUAUACAUCUCACAUUAAAUAUGACAUUUUCAGCUCAUUACAUUUUCUGAUUAUACUAAAAGGAAUAGCCAGGUCAUGAUAACAGAAUCACCUCACAAUUGGGCUUCAAGUAUAUAGCUCAAAAAUACAAAUCAACACACACACUGCAAAACGCAGCCCUUGUUCAUCGCAAAAUGUCACCCAUAAUUGCGGGUGCAAACACACGGCUUGGAGGGAAAUCUUUUUUUUGUUUUUUUUUUCGUUUUUGUCUCUUAAAUUCAAUUUUUUUUUCUCAAAUCCACAGUAUUUCAGAGCCCCUUGAAAAAUUUCCAGGGCAAAAAAAGUCAUCAAUAAUUCCUUUGUUAUUGAAGACAGAUAAGACCAUGUGACCCACCCAGCCUACUGUAUGGUACUGUGCCUUCUCUCUGUUUCCGUCCCUCGUUCCAAUUCUCUUUUUUUAGAGGGGAAAAGAGAAGGGACAUUGAAUUAUGUUUUAAAAGAUUCUGGAGAGGAAGGUUUUAGUGAAUUAGACUGGAUUUCACUGUAUAGGCAACACAUGUCAAGGCUUCUGAGAGAAAGGGAGAGAGAGGGAGACAGUAAGAGAGAGAGAGAGACAGGAAGAGAGAGAGAGAGAGACAGACAGGAAGAGAGAGAGACAGAGAGAGAGGGAGACAGGAAGAGAGACAGAGAGAGAGAGAGACAGAGAGAGAGAGAGAGAGAGAGACAGACAGACAGACAGGAAUAGAGAGAGAGAGAGACAGACAGGAAGAGAGAGAGACAGAGAGAGAGGGAGAGAGAGAGAGAGAGAGACAGACAGACAGGAAUAGAGAGAGAGAGAGAGAGGGGAGACAGGAAGAGAGAGAGAGAGAGAGGGAGGGAGACAGGAAGAGAGAGAGAGAGGGAGACAGGAAGAGAGAGAGAGGGAGACAGGAAGAGAGAGAGAGAGAGACAGGAAGAGAGAGAGAGAGAGAGAGAGAGAGAGAGAGAGAGGGAGACAGGAAGAGAGAGAGAGAGAGAGGGAGGGAGACAGGAAGAGAGAGAGAGAGGGAGACAGGAAGAGAGAGAGAGAGAGAGAGAGAGGGGGGAAGAGGAAAAGAGAGAGAUACUGUAUAUAUUAUAUAUAUAAUAUGACAUUUGUAAUGUCUUUAUUGUUUUGAAACUUCUGUAUGUAUAAUGUUUACUGUUAAUUGUUAUUGUUUAUUUCACUUUAUAUCACUUUAUAUAUUCACUUUAUAUAUGAUCUACCUCACUUGCUUUGGCAAUGUUAACACAUGUUUCCCAUGCCAAUAAAGCCCCUUGAAUUGAAUUGAGAGACAGGAAGAGAGAGAGAGAGAGGGGGGGGUGAAAGGAGAGCAAAGAGUUAAUCCCUCUCUCUGUUGGAAGGGUCUUGUGCUGAAGUUACAUAGAGGGAGGAGGAAGCUGACAGGCAGAGAAAUCGCCUGGGGCCCUUGGCAGCUCUUCGAUUCAUUUUGCCAUUUUGCUUGGCGAUCCAAUCUGGAAAAAGCAUUUUUUGUUGGAAAUGUAAUAUAUCUAAAAAGUACAUAAGACUUUUUUUGGUCUCCUGUUUUUAUGAGGCCGAUAUUCCCCAGUCCCACACACCCUCCUCCUCUGACAGUGAUUCUGUGAUUCUCCUUUGGCCACCAGGGGGUGCCAUUGUCUCACAGUGAAAAAGGAUCCCCUGUUGUGAAAUUUCAAUAUUCUGAAAAACUCUAAAACUCAACGAAAAAAAAAUAAUAAAGAAUCA